rnacentral:misc_RNA from 1 species
GACGAAGAACGUAGCGAAAUGCGAUAAGUAAUGUGAAUUGCAGAAUUCAGUGAAUCAUCGAAUCUUUGAACGCACCUUGCGCCCUUUGGACAUUCCGAAGGGCAUGCCUGUUUGAGUAUCAUGAACACCUCAACUCUCACGGCUUGUCCGUGAUGAGCUUGGACUUUGGGGGUCUUGCCGGCCUGUGGUCGGCUCCUCUCAAAUGGAUCAGCUUGCCAGUGUUUGGUGGCAUCACAGGUGUGAUAACUAUCUGCGCUUGUGGUUUUCCAUCAGAUAACCUUCAGUGAUAUGGAGGUUCGCUGGAGCUCACAAAUGUCUCUCCUUAGUGAGGACAGCUCUUUGAACGUUUGAUCUCAAAUCAGGUAGGACUACCCGCUGAACUUAAGCAUAUCAAUAAGCGGAGGA